AGAGUUUGAUCAUGGCUCAGAACGAACGCUGGCGGCAUGCCUAACACAUGCAAGUCGAACGAGGCCUUCGGGUCUAGUGGCGCACGGGUGCGUAACGCGUGGGAAUCUGCCCUUGGGUUCGGAAUAACAGUUAGAAAUGACUGCUAAUACCGGAUGAUGUCUUCGGACCAAAGAUUUAUCGCCCAGGGAUGAGCCCGCGUAGGAUUAGGUAGUUGGUGGGGUAAUGGCCCACCAAGCCGACGAUCCUUAGCUGGUCUGAGAGGAUGAUCAGCCACACUGGGACUGAGACACGGCCCAGACUCCUACGGGAGGCAGCAGUGGGGAAUAUUGGACAAUGGGCGCAAGCCUGAUCCAGCAAUGCCGCGUGAGUGAUGAAGGCCUUAGGGUUGUAAAGCUCUUUUACCAGGGAUGAUAAUGACAGUACCUGGAGAAUAAGCUCCGGCUAACUCCGUGCCAGCAGCCGCGGUAAUAC
rnacentral:rRNA from 1 species